CCAUGUUCUGAAGCACUAUCGAGCCUCUAGUGAUGAAGCUGCACGAUGAGCUGAGAAUUUAGAAAAAAGAGCAGUAAAAGCAAGCGAACUGGAGAGGCCCCCUGAUGAAAACCCAGUGACAACAGCUGUAAUCACAAGAGCGCAGGAAUUUGUUUUAUCAGCAGAAAAGAAAGCUUCAGCGGGGGAAGUGUGUUUUCAAAAUGAGGCUUAUAUGACGGCUCCUGCCUCUGCGGACGUGAAUUUGAAUGUGCAUGAAGAGAUCCAGUAAAAAAAACAAUCCCCACAUUACACAACCAAUGGCAACCAGCAGAGGACCCUUCACAUGGAGCAGCACUGACCAAAUAAAUUGCUUGGACAGGUAGAAGAAUGAAGAGCGACAGCACUUGUUGCACCUGUGACACUGAUCUUCAUUUAGAAGUCUGGAACGGACCAGAUGAAGGAGGAAACACUGGCUGUGUGAUAUGAAGGUAGAAAUUGCUAUUAUCCUGUGGAGCAUGAGUCAGUCCUUCCCUCACCAAGUCUUUUUUUCAGGGGUUGCUGCAGGGCCUCGUAUCCCCUCUGUCUUUUCUUGUCGCUUUCUAUUUCCUUCAUUGUCUUCACUCUGCGUCUC